UUUUAUCAUUGCGUAUCGAGAUAUGUAUCGUAUCGUGACCAGAAUAUCGAGAUGCGUAUCGUAUCGUGACCUUCCUGUAUCGUUGCAGCCCUAGUUACAAGUAGACAUUACAGGUAGGAAUUGAUUACAAAUAUUCACUUGUUACAAGAAGGCAUUACAGGUAGGGAUUUGUUGAAAGUACUCACUUGUUAAAAGUAGGCAUUCAGUACAAGUUAGCACUUGUUACAAGUAGGCAUUACAGGUAGGAAUUGAUUACAAAUAUUCACUUGUUACAAGAAGGCAUUACAGGUAGGGAUUUGUUGAAAGUACUCACUUGUUAAAAGUAGGCAUUCAGUACAAGUUAGCACUUGUUACAAGUAGGCAUUACAGGUAGGGAUUUGUUGAAAGUACUCACUUGUUAAAAGUAGGCAUUCAGUACAAGUUAGCACUUGUUGCAAGUAGGCAUUACAGGUAGGGAUUUUUGAAAGUACUCACUUGUUAAAAGUAGGCAUUCAGUACAAGUUAGCACUUGUUACAAGUAGGCAUUACAGGUAGGAAUUGAUUACAAAUAUUCACUUGUUACAAGAAGGCAUUACAGGUAGGGAUUUGUUGAAAGUACUCACUUGUUAAAAGUAGGCAUUCAGUACAAGUUAGCACUUGUUACAAGUAGGCAUUACAGGUAGGAAUUGAUUACAAAUAUUCACUUGUUACAAGAAGGCAUUACAGGUAGGGAUUUGUUGAAAGUACUCACUUGUUAAAAGUAGGCAUUCAGUACAAGUUAGCACUUGUUACAAGUAGGCAUUACAGGUAGGGAUUUGUUGAAAGUACUCACUUGUUAAAAGUAGGCAUUCAGUACAAGUUAGCACUUGUUGCAAGUAGGCAUUACAGGUAGGGAUUUUUGAAAGUACUCACUUGUUAAAAGUAGGCAUUCAGUACAAGUUAGCACUUGUUACAAGUAGGCAUUACAGGUAGGAAUUGAUUACAAAUAUUCACUUGUUACAAGAAGGCAUUACAGGUAGGGAUUUGUUGAAAGUACUCACUUGUUAAAAGUAGGCAUUCAGUACAAGUUAGCACUUGUUACAAGUAGGCAUUACAGGUAGGGAUUUGUUGAAAGUACUCACUUGUUAAAAGUAGGCAUUCAGUACAAGUUAGCACUUGUUGCAAGUAGGCAUUACAGGUAGGGAUUUUUGAAAGUACUCACUUGUUAAAAGUAGGCAUUCAGUACAAGUUAGCACUUGUUACAAGUAGGCAUUACAGGUAGGGAUUUGUUGAAAGUACUCACUUGUUAAAAGUAGGCAUUCAGUACAAGUUAGCACUUGUUACAAGUAGGCAUUACAGGUAGGAAUUGAUUACAAAUAUUCACUUGUUACAAGAAGGCAUUACAGGUAGGGAUUUGUUGAAAGUACUCACUUGUUAAAAGUAGGCAUUCAGUACAAGUUAGCACUUGUUACAAGUAGGCAGGUAGGGAUUUGUUGAAAAUAGUCACUGUUAAAAAUUUUAAUGCUGAAUAUGUGCAUUUACUUGUU